CCUAAAAUGAAAAUUGGAAACAUCCCUGUAUCCACCUAAUCCCUUUCGAACAUAAACCGUACGUCGCCUAUGCGCGACCCCCAGAAAGCCACAGUUGUUUGCAACUGUCAUCUCCAUCGGCCCAGUCACCGAAGGCGCCGAAACGAUUGAACGGAAAAAAGAGAUAAAACUGUUUGUCAUCGGACAAACAAGCUCUCUUCCAGUGAACCAAACUGUCGCUCCCGGUGUGCUAUCUUUGACCUGCUGAGCGGAUGGUGCAAAUUUCUCGGUGAAGUAAGUGUGAAUCAGCCGUAUAGUGCAAACCAGCUGGCGAGGAAAGUGGAAAUCUGCCGUAUCGGGCAAACAGCCGACUCACCGGAAUAGAGUGACACGCCAACCCGCUGAAAAGAGAAAACCAUCUGGCAUCCGCCAUCUUUAGUCAUUUUCUUGAUUGGCGUGCCGAAUUCAAUUGCCCAGGUGGCUAGUGUAUCAUCCGGAGCCGCCCGUUCCCGUUUUCCCUGCCCGGUAGUGAACGUAUUCCGUGGGUCCAACAUUUCGAUGAGCUGUGCCGCUAUCACCGACGAGCCAGAUCUCCACGUCCCCGUUGACGGAAACCACGUGUCCUAUCUCGUACUCGGCCUCAAGCAGAAAUCAAGCGCAGGACGGUGGACGAAUAAACUAACUGUGUCCGAAGAUCCCGGCAGCAUGGGAGCCGCAGCCCGUACGACGCCUCGUUCGGUCAGGUCCCAGCCAAACAACAGACCGGAACUAGCCAGCAACAUGUGGUCGGAAUUACGGUAAAGUACCCUUUCCUUCACUUUCCUAUGAACCCAAAUGUGAAUGAUUUUCAACUAAUGAGAUGAUUAAAUUUGAAACUAUUGAUUAAGAAAUGAAA